rnacentral:rRNA from 1 species
UAAUAAGCAAGAAAGGGCGCAUGGUGGAUGCCUUGGCACGGGCAGGCGAUGAAGGACGUGAUAAGCUGCGAUAAGCCACGGGGAGCUGCAAACAAGCUCGGAUCCGUGGAUCUCCGAAUGGGGCAACCCGGCACUUUCUGAGUGUCAUCCUUGGGCUGAAUACAUAGGCCCUUGGAAGCGAACCCGGGGAACUGAAACAUCUAAGUACCCGGAGGAAAAGAAAACAAUAGUGAUUCCCCAAGUAGUGGCGAGCGAACGGGGAACAGCCUAAACUGAUGUGGUCUCGGCUGCAUCGGGGUUGUAGGGCUUGCAAUAUGGAUCAGGCGUUGAAGAGGAAUCCUGCUGGAAAGCGGAACCGAAGAAGGUGAAAGUCCUGUACGCGUAAGACAAAUGAUCCUAGCGAUGUCCCUGAGUACCACGGGGUCGGAGAAGCCUUGUGGGAAGCUACCAGCACCAUCUGGUAAGGCUAAAUACUAAUCCGUGACCGAUAGUGAACCAGUACCGUGAGGGAAAGGUGAAAAGAACGCCUAGUCGGCGAGUGAAAUAGUACCUGAAACCAUGCGCUUACAACCAGUCGGAGCCUGAUUUAUCCAUUCAUUUGGAUAAGGAGGGUGACGGCGUGCCUUUUGCAUAAUGAGCCUACGAGUUACACCUCACUGGCAAGGUUAAGUGCUUCUGGCACGGAGCCGUAGCGAAAGCGAGUCUGAAUAGGGCGCCACAGUCAGUGGGGGUAGACGCGAAACCGAGUGAGCUACCUAUGGGCAGGGUGAAGCGUGGGUAAGACCACGUGGAGGCCCGAACCGCAGUACGUUGAAAAGUGCCCGGAUGACCUGUGGGUAGGGGUGAAAGGCCUAUCAAACUCGGAAAUAGCUCGUACUCCCCGAAAUGUAUUUGGGUACAGCGUCGCAAUAGUGUAUCGGAGGUAGAGCACUGAUUGGGCUAGGGCCCUUCACCGGGUACCAACCCCAGACAAACUCCGAAUGCCGAUACUACGUUUUGCGGCAGUGAGGGCAUGGGUGCUAAGGUCCAUGUCCGAGAGGGGAACAACCCAGACCGACAGCUAAGGUCCCCAAGUUCAGUCUAAGUUGAUCAAAGGAGGUCGGAUUGCUGAAACAACCAGGAUGUUGGCUUGGAAGCAGCCAUUCAUUUAAAGAGUGCGUAAUAGCUCACUGGUCGAGCGAUCCGGCAUCGAAAAUUUGCGGGCAUUAAGACUGGCACCGAAGCUCCGGGUUUCCUAUCGGAAGCGGUAGGGGAGCAUUCCAGCGGCGGCAAAGCAGUACUGCGAGGUGCUGUGGAGCUUCUGGAAAAGAAAAUGUAGGCAUGAGUAACGAUAAGACAGGUGAGAAACCUGUCCGCCGUAAGCCUUAGGGUUCCUGUUCAACGUUAAUCGGAACAGGGUUAGUCGGGACCUAAGCCGAGGCCGAAAGGCGUAGGCGAUGGAAAACGGGUCAAUAUUCCCGUACCACCAACAAGCAAUAGAGUAAGGCGUGACGCAGAAGCGUAAGGUCCGCGCACAGACGGAUGUGCGUUGAAGUGCGUAGGCUGGAUGGGUAGGCAAAUCCGCCCGUCCGCUAAGGCUGAACCACGACAGUAGCGGGAGUCUUCGGACGAACGCAUAGUGGCCCCAAGUAUGCUGCCAAGAAAAGCGUCGUAUUCUGCUCAAGGUGCCCGUACCGUAAACCGACACAGGUAGGCGAGGAGAGUAUCCUCAGGCGCUCGAGUGAUCCGUGGCUAAGGAACUAGGCAAAAUUGCUCCGUAACUUCGGGAGAAGGAGCGCCUCCCUCUAUUAAAAGCGGGGGGAGGCCGCAGUGAAAAGACCCAAGCGACUGUUUAACAAAAACACAGCUCUCUGCUAAAUCGCAAGAUGAUGUAUAGGGAGUGACACCUGCCCGGUGCCGGAAGGUUAAGGAAGGGGGUUAGCUGCUUGCAGCGAAGCUCACGACUGAAGCCCCGGUAAACGGCGGCCGUAACUAUAACGGUCCUAAGGUAGCGAAAUUCCUUGUCGGGU